rnacentral:lncRNA from 1 species
GCUAUUUCUUGUUUCUGUGCAUUUUGCUUCUCUUUGCAGAUGCAGCAUCUGCGAAAACGCAUUACCAUGAUUUUGUUGUAAGCCAUCCAAGAUUUCGCUUCUUUGGUAUCUGCUAAGUGCUAACAUUUCAUAAAUUUUACAAAUUCUACGAUACUGACCUCUGUUUUUGUGGAACAGAUUCAAGCAACACCAGUGAAGAGGCUGUGCAAAACCCACAACACCAUAACGGUGAAUGGACAAUUCCCUGGACCAACAUUAGAAGUAAACAACGGGGAUACUCUAGUGGUCAAAGUUGUCAAUCGAGCUCGAUAUAAUGUCACAAUUCACUGGUACGUUCAUGCAUGCAGAACUCAAAUGAACUGAUAUAUGUUACUCCAAUGAAUAAGACAUGAUUAAGUUUCAUAUGACCUUUUCUCUUACUUUUUUAUACUAUUUUGUUGUGUUUCAAAAGGCAUGGAGUUAGGCAAAUGAGGACAGCAUGGGCAGACGGACCAGAAUUUAUCACUCAGUGCCCAAUUAGACCGGGAAAGAGUUACACUUACCGGUUCACAAUUCAAGGACAAGAAGGGACACUUUGGUGGCACGCCCACAGCUCAUGGCUCAGGGCUACUGUUUAUGGAGCUCUAAUUAUUCACCCAAAAGGAGGAAGCUAUCCAUUUCCUAAGCCCAAAAGAGAAACACCUAUUCUGCUUGGUAAUAAUUCUACCUUCUCUUAUCAUCGGAAGCUUUGACCAAUUUUCAAAAACAAUACCCUUCUGUCCCAUUUCAUGUGCCCCUGUUUGACUGAAAAGGAUAGUGGUUCACAUAAAAUCCAACAGAGGGGGUACUAGUUAUGCAUCUGCUCAUAUUCUGUUUCCUUUUAGAAAUAUUGUUGAAAUGAUAAUUUGGAAAUGCUGAUCAGGUGAGUGGUGGAAUGCAAACCCAAUCGAUGUUGUAAGAGAGGCUACAAGAACAGGAGCAGCUCCUAAUGUAUCAGAUGCUUACACCAUCAAUGGUCAACCAGGUGACCUCUACAAGUGUUCCAGUCAAGGUUAGCUCUAAAUUCUAGUCUCACAGAAAAUUUUAAACAGGUAACCAUGAAAUUUGCAUCAGAAAGAAAUUGUGUCUCGACUCUUUUGUACAGACGGUCAAGAUUACUUCAAAAAGCAAAAUUAUUUUGUUCAAAUACUCAAGACAGUAAAAUCAUCUAACACUCUUAAAAGAUCAAAUAAUAGAAGCAAAUUUAUACAUGGUAAAAGGAAUAAUUUCCAGCUAACAAUGUAUGCUAGCAUUCACUAAACUAUGAUAUGAUAUCUUACUGGUUCAGGACAUGUUUUAAUAGAAAUCAUAUUUAUGCAGAUACCAACAUAGUUCAUACAGACUCUGGCGAAACCAACCUCCUUCGAGUUAUCAAUGCUGGAAUGAACCAGGAGCUUUUCUUUACUGUGGCAAACCACAAGUUUACUGUUGUUGGAGCAGAUGCCUCAUAUGUUAAACCCUUCACUACAUCAGUCCUUAUGCUUGGACCAGGCCAGACAACUGAUGUCCUUAUCAAAGCUGAUCAGCCACCAAGCAGAUACUACAUGGCAGCACGUGCCUACGCAAGUGCUCAAGGCGCCCCCUUUGAUAAUACCACAACAACAGCCAUCCUCGAGUACAAGACAUCUUCUUGUUCUUCCAAUUGUGUCAAGACCAAUCCAGUUUUCCCAUCUCUACCAGCAUAUAAUGACACAGCCACUGCUACAGCCUUCACAACAAAAUUCAGAAGCCCAAGAAAGGUCGAGGUACCCAAGGAAAUCGAUGAAAAUCUAUUCUUCACUGUUGGGCUAGGACUUAACAAUUGUCCAAGAGGUGCACGCUCUAAAAACUGUCAAGGUCCAAAUGGAACUCGAUUCACUGCCAGUAUGAACAAUAUAUCUUUUGUGCUACCAUCCAAUUUUUCCCUGCUACAAGCACAUCACAAUGGCAUUCCUGGUGUUUUCUCAACUGAUUUCCCAGCUGUGCCACCUGUAAAAUUUGAUUAUACUGGCAAUGUAAGCCGGUCUUUAUGGCAACCUAUUCGAGGAACUAAGCUGUACAAGCUGAAAUAUGGCGCAAGAGUGCAAGUUGUGUUACAGGGGACUAAUAUCUCCACAGCUGAGAACCACCCAAUUCACCUUCACGGAUAUGAUUUCUACAUCAUUGCAGAGGGUUUCGGUAACUUUAAUCCAAAAAGAGAUGCAUCUAAAUUCAACCUUGUUGAUCCACCACUCAGAAACACAGCCAGUGUGCCCGUUAAUGGAUGGGCAGUCAUUAGAUUUGUCGCUGACAAUCCAGGUAAGAUAAAUACUAAUAUGCUAAUAUUCUAUACAAUGUCACAUUUCAAUGAUACAAACUUAACAAUAUUAACUUAAUACAGGAGUGUGGCUAAUGCACUGUCACUUGGAUGUUCACAUUACCUGGGGUUUGGCCAUGGCGUUCCUCGUUGAAAACGGAGUCAGCCAAUUGGAAUCAUUGGAAACUCCACCAGUAGAUCUGCCUGUCUGCUGAUAACUGGAACAAGCAACAUAAUACAAAAUUCAAAGCCCUAGAGAAAUCAAUUUAAUUGCUUUAGUAAUUCCAAGUGAUAUUGUUCCCCCCUUUUAGGGCAAGUUCUUUUUUUUUUUUGUUUGCUCUACUACAUUUUCCCCCUUUUUCCUAGAAUUUAUGGUCAAUAUAGUGCCAAAAAUUGCUAUGUAAUACACCAGAUAUCUUAGAAUUAAGGCAGCAUAUUGCCCAGAUUAAACCAGUUGUAUUGUUUCGAGUGCAGAAGAAUUUACUUGAGUUUUGAACUAAACUUGAAUCUCACAUUGCUAUAACAACAACAACAACAACAAAUCCAGUAUAGUAUAUCAAGAGCAUACAAUGUACGCAGACCUUACCACUACCUCAAGGAGAUAAAGAGUAAACAGUAAAGUGGUUGCUUCCGAAAGACUCUCCGUUAGUGUAACGAACAUCAGAGCAACAGUAAGAAUUGCAUAAAUAGUACGUAAUAAAUUGGGGGAAAAAGACAGAUCACUUUGGAGAAAUUAAGCGAAAAAGCAGACCUAAUCAAUCGUUACCUUCGCGUUCCAUGAUUGCAAUGUUUGUUCAUCAGCCUUUGAGCUUCAGUUCCUCCGGGCUCUGGCGGUCAAUAUGGUGGGGGCAUUGGUACGUUUUCCCGCCGGCGACUGAAGUACUCCGAUCAGCAUAAUUUGUGAUUUCAGCAAAUUUUGCUUGCAAACAUUUUCUUUUGGCAAAAGUAAAUACUUAAUUGAGUUUAUAAUUAAAUACUUAUAAAUAUUUGGUAUAAAUUUUUU